CACGUAGGGUGCGAGCGUUUGUCCGGAAUUAUUGGGCGUAAAGGGCUCGUAGGCGGUUUGUCGCGUCGGGAGUGAAAACUCAGGGCUUAACCCUGAGCCUGCUCCCGAUACGGGCAGACUAGAGGUAUGCAGGGGAGAACGGAAUUCCUGGUGUAGCGGUGAAAUGCGCAGAUAUCAGGAGGAACACCGGUGGCGAAGGCGGUUCUCUGGGCAUUACCUGACGCUGAGGAGCGAAAGUGUGGGGAGGCGAACAGG
rnacentral:rRNA from 1 species